rnacentral:sRNA from 1 species
GGAUGUACAAAGACUCAAGCAGCACAAAGGAACAUGGAUUGCCAAGGAUUAAUUUGCCUGAUAUGGUUGACUAGAAGGUGUUCUCUUCCUCCUUCACUCCUCCAUGUGUGUCUUUCCUGAAGCUGCACACUCUGUGGGAGAAGAUGACCAUCCCACUAUUCCUUGGUCCAGGGUGUAUGAUGACUAUGCUCCAAACAAGUUCAAGAUCUGCCACCAUGGUGGUGGUGGUUACU